UUUUCUGUCGCUGCUGUAAUGGCUCCUGAGAAACUGAGACCAUCGUUCCAACAGCCCACGAAUGGCUGCCUUUUCCAUGUGGUAUUUCAUGAUUGGACUGCAAAACCUCAAGAGAAACAAUGGGAAAGACCAUCUCCAGAGAAGAAUCUUCCCUUCCCUGCCCUCAAUUCUUUAUGCCCUUGGCUGGCAGCUUUACUUUGAAGAAUAGUCGAAACCACACUCCAUCACAAGGAGACAAAGGGCAAGGUGGAAGCUGUGAGGCCAUCUCCCUCCAAGGGAUGGGGACAGGAGGCAAGGGCUAUGCUGGGCAAGGACACACCAGGACAAGAGGCACCUCCUCUUGGGCUGCCCCCAGCGCCAGGACUGCACCACGCAGGAAAGAGCUAUCUAAGUAUGACUUAGAAUGAAGCCCGCAGGUAAAGCAGAGACAGCCCAGCUAUGAGUGAAAGGCGCA